rnacentral:tRNA from 1 species
GCGGCAGUACCAAAGUGGCCAAAUGGGCUGGCUUCAGGAGCCAGUGGGUUAGUCCCUUCGCAGGUUCGAAUCCUGUCUGCCGCA